rnacentral:rRNA from 1 species
GAUGAACGCUAGCUACAGGCUUAACACAUGCAAGUCGAGGGGUAACGAGAGGGAAGCUUGCUUUCCUUGUCGACGACCGGCGCACGGGUGAGUAACGAGUAUCCAACCUGCCCCCAACUAGGGAAUAACCUUGCGAAAGUAAGACUAAUACCCUAUAAUUUCCUCAGAUGUCAUCUGACGAGGAAUAAAGAUUUAUCGGUUGUGGAUGGGGAUGCGUCUGAUUAGCUUGUUGGCGGGGUAACGGCCCACCAAGGCAACGAUCAGUAGGGGUUCUGAGAGGAAGGUCCCCCACAUUGGAACUGAGACACGGUCCAAACUCCUACGGGAGGCAGCAGUGAGGAAUAUUGGUCAAUGGGCGGAAGCCUGAACCAGCCAAGUAGCGUGCAGGAUGACGGCCCUAUGGGUUGGAAACUGCUUUUAUACAGGAAUAAAGUUAGCCACGUGUGGUUAUUUGUAGGUACUGUAUGAAUAAGGACCGGCUAAUUCCGUGCCAGCAGCCGCAGUAA